rnacentral:rRNA from 1 species
CAUGCAUGUCUAAGUAUAAGCACUUGUACUGUGAAACUGCGAAUGGCUCAUUAUAUCAGUUAUAAUUUAUUUGAUGGUCAUUUACUUGGAUAACCGUGGUAAAUCUAGAGCUAAUACAUGCAUAAAAUCCUGACUGGGAACGGAAAGGAUGUAUUUAUUAGAUACAAAAACCGAUGCACUAGGCUUUCGGGUCUAGUGGAAAACAAUGGUGAUUCAUGAUAACUUUACGAAUCGUGUGGUCUUGCACCGACGAUAGUUCAUUCAAAUUUCUGCCCUAUCAACUUUCGAUGGUAGUAUAGAGGACUACCAUGGUGGUAACGGGUAACGGAGAAUCAGGGUUUGAUUCCGGAGAAGGAGCCUGAGAAACGGCUACUACUUCCAAGGAAGGCAGCAGGCGCGCAAAUUACCCAAUCCCGACACGGGGAGGUAGUGACAAAAAAUAACAAUACCGGUCUUAUAUAAGUCUGGUAAUUGGAAUGAGUACAAUCUAAACCCCUUAACGAGUAUCAAUUGGAGGGCAAGUCUGGUGCCAGCAGCCGCGGUAAUUCCAGCUCCAAUAGCAUAUAUUAAAGUUGUUGCAGUUAAAAAGCUCGUAGUUGGAUUUUAGAGUUUAUUGGUAGAGUCCGCUUGAAUAAGUGUGUAUUUUAUCAAUAGCUCUCCUUACUAGAUAUUCACGAUUGUUCUUAAUUGAGCAGUUGGUCUUAUUCGCAAGAGUAAGGUGCUUAGUGGGUCUGGGGGUUGAGAUGUGGUUUUUUUACGAGGCAACUUGUAGAGAAAUCUGCUUGAUUCACUUCCAUUAA